rnacentral:rRNA from 1 species
UAAACUAGGGAUUAGAUACCCUAUUAUUGAAAAUGUAAAUUUUAAUGCCUGAGUAUUAGUAGCUAUGUUCUUGAAAUUCAAAGAAUCUGGCGGUAUUUUAGUCUAUUCAGAGGAACCUGUCCUAUAAUUGAUAAUCCACGAUUAAUUGUACUUAUUUUUAGUUUGUAUAUCGUCGUAGUUUGAAUGUUUUAAGAGAAAAAGGAAUGUUCAAGAUUUAUAUUUAAAUAUAAAUGAAAUCAGAUCAAGAUACAGCGUAUAGAUAAGAAGAGAUGGGUUACAAUAAAUUUAUUUAUAUGGUUAAAAUAGUUAACAUUAUUUUAUAAAUUGGAUUUGAUAGUAAUAUAGUUUAGUUUAAUUGUAUGAUUGUAGCUCUAAAAUAUGUACAUAUCGCCCGUCGCUCCCUCCUUAAAGAUGGAUAAGUCGUAACAUAGUAGGUGUACUGGAAAGUGUACCUAGAAUGGCAAAUUAGAGCUUGAUAGAAAGCAUUUUAUUUACAUUAAAAAGUUAGUUGUGAAAAUCAAUUUAAUUUGAAGUGAUUAAUUUAUUGUUUAAUUAUAAAAAAAAUAUUUUUAAUAUUAGUAUAUUUAAGAAAGUAAUUGUUUAAUUAUAGUGGAUAGUAUAGUGAUAGGAGAUUGAAGUAAAGUUUAAUUAGUUAAAAGAAGAAUUUAGUUUUUGUACCUUGUGUAUCAGGGUUUAUUAAAAUAAGUUAUUUAAUAUAAUUUUCUCGAAUUGAAAAGAGCUAUAACGGUAUAAAUUUAAUUGUAGCAUAAAUUUUUAUAAUACAGUUAUUGGAAUGAAACGUUAGUCGUUUUUUAAUAUAUCUAGUUUCUUAAGAAAUAAAUUUAAUUUAAUUUUUUAAAUUCAUUUUAUUGAUUCGUUAGUUUAAUGGUUUAAAUAUUUAAUAUUUUAAGGGAUAAGCUUUAAAAUAAAUUAUUAAAAUAGAAGUUUUGUUAUUUGAAAAUUAGUAGGAUUGGAAAUGUUUAUCUUUAGUUUGUUAUAAUUAAUUUUUAAUUAAAUAAGAUUUAUAUGUUAAUUUAAGUUUUCUAUUAAGAAUACAUAUUGAAUAUAGUUUUAUGUGUAAUAAUGAUAAAAUUAGUAUAGUAUGUUGUAUAUAAUAGUGUAAGAUCAAGGUUGAUUUAAGGAACUCGGCAAAUAUACUUUUCGCCUGUUUAUUAAAAACAUGUCUUUUUGAUUAUAAUUUAAAGUCUAACCUGCCCAAUGAGGAGUUAAAUGGCCGCGGUAAUUUGACCGUGCAAAGGUAGCAUAAUCAUUAGUUUUUUAAUUGAAAGCUGGUAUGAAUGGUUGGACGAGAAAGUGACUGUCUCAAAUCAAUUGUUAUUAGAACUUUAUUUAUAAGUAAAAAAGCUUAUAUAUUUUUAAAAGACGAGAAGACCCUAUAGAAUUUUAUAGUUUAUUAAAUAGAUUAUUAUUAGAAUAAUAAUUUUUUUAUUUAAGAGACUAUUUUGUUGGGGCGAUAGAAAAAUUGAAUUAACUUUUUUUAUAUUAUAUCAUAAAUUUAUGUGUUGAUGAUCCGUUAUUAACGAUUAUAAGAUUAAAUUACCUUAGGGAUAACAGCGUAAUUUUUUUUUAGAGUUCUUAUCGAAAAAAGAGUUUGCGACCUCGAUGUUGGAUUAAAAUUAACUUUUGGUGUAGGGGCUAAAAGGUUAGGUCUGUUCGACCUUUAAAAUUUUACAUGAUCUGAGUUCAAACCGGAGA